GAUGAACGCUAGCGGCAGGCCUAACACAUGCAAGUCGAGGGGUAACAUAGAAAAGCUUGCUUUUCUGAUGACGACCGGCGCACGGGUGCGUAACGCGUAUACAACCUACCUUUUAGCGGGGAAUAGCCCAGGGAAACUUGGAUUAAUGCCUCAUAGUAUAUAAGCUUCUCCUGAAGUUUAUAUUAAACAUUUAUGGCUAUUAGAUGGGUAUGCGUCCUAUUAGUUAGUUGGUAAGGUAACGGCUUACCAAGGCAGCGAUAGGUAGGGGUCCUGAGAGGGAGAUCCCCACACUGGUACUGAGACACGGACCAGACUCCUACGGGAGGCAGCAGUGAGGAAUAUUGGACAAUGGGCGAGAGCCUGAUCCAGCCAUGCCGCGUGCAGGAAGACUGCCCUAUGGGUUGUAAACUGCUUUUACAGAGGAAGAACCACCCCCACGUGUGGGGGUUUGACGGUACUCUGCGAAUAAGGAUCGGCUAACUCCGUG
rnacentral:rRNA from 1 species